GUCUCUAAUCUCGGAUUUUGAAACGACGCGUAGCGCCAUUUUUUAUUGUGAUUAACCUUUAACCGCUGCUUUGAAAUUGAAUUUUCCGUUGCAAUUCGCUAUUUUGAUUUGAAGGCGGUUUUCAUCUAUUUAUUAUCUAAUUAUAGUGCUUUAUUGUGUGUGAAUGUUUUUGUAAACAAUAUAUUAUAAAAGCAAUCAUUUAGUGUUUACCAGUUUAAACGUGUAAUUGUUUUCUUCGUAUAGUUUGGUUUAUUUGAUAAUAUAAUGGUUUAUAAGUGCUCUGUUCCCGGGUGCAGUACUCGAGGCCGAGAAAAAAAUCCUACUCAUUGGCAACCAAAGGGCAAAGUGGGAGUAUAUUAAGAGACUUUAUAAAGUGGAUGGUUUUGGUGGCAGAGCAAGAAGCACCAAACUUACUGAGAAGCACAUAAAUCCAACUUCAUAUGACAAAAUGAAGGUCAAAUUUGCAGCCCAAGUUUUUAGCCGGCAAGUGGCUACAUCACUAG